GAAGGGGAUUUGUUGGCUAUUUCUAUAAACUGUUUUUUAUUCAAACAGAGGGAGGAAGUAAAAAAUACAGGAUAGAAGAUAAAACUCUCCUGGCCAACUGAUAAAGAAGAUAAACAAAUACAGGGAUGCAUUAUGACUUGCCAGGCAUGAAUGAGCCAAUUCUGGAAGCACUGAAAAGGAGCUUUGCUAUCCAACAAAGUUUUCUCUAAGAAGUACAUUCAGGAAAAUACAGCCAAGCACGAGGAGCUGAGGAACUGGAUUGACAGCUGAUGAAAGGGUGUUUAUAGAUGGGCAGCCAUGGAGAAUUGUAUAAUGGAAGUCACUGAAGAGAAAAAAGCCCUGAUGAGAGGCUACAGGCAGCCUGAUGGAUAAUGGACGGGUACCUGCUGCACUGCCCCUGCCUAUUAAAGGGUCACCACCUUCCACAACCGUGUCACAUCGAGACCUCCCAAAAUGCUUCGCAUUUUUAACAUCUUUUGCAAAAUUCUCCAGCUGCAAAAAUCUCUCGGUGGGUAUUCAGACUAUAAUGGAUUUAGAGCUGCCUCACAAUCUCCCAGCAAUAACUCUGUCUACUCUAACACAUCAGCAGUGCUCAGGAAUAGUCCACGAGGUGAAACAGUCAGGGAAAAUAAGAUCAAGACAGGUAUGCCCAGCAGAAGUUUAUUCUCAGAACAGCUCUCAUUUAAGUAUUUGCUACUGGCUUAACCUGGUAUUGAUUAAAUAGCAGCUUCUCUGUAACAGGGCUGCUGGAUCUGAGGCUCGGGACGCUCAGGGAUGUUCGCUGCCCGCUCGCACAGCCGGGCUGGGGUUUCUGGCACGGCAGCCGGGGUCAGCAGCCACGGUGCGCUGUCAUCUGUUUCUGGGAAGUUUCCCUCCCAUGCUUUUCCACUGAGGCUAUUUCUGUGCGGUUAUAGGCGCACAGAGGUCACUCCCUCUCUGUGCGCACGGAACGCUCCCUGCUUGAAGAAAACACCGUUUCCACUGAACUCAGGGCACUUU